AAUAGAUACCCCGGUAGUCCCAGCCGUAAACGAUGCUCGCUAGGUGUCAGGCAUGGCGCGACCGUGUCUGGUGCCGCAGGGAAGCCGUGAAGCGAGCCACCUGGGAAGUACGGCCGCAAGGCUGAAACUUAAAGGAAUUGGCGGGGGAGCGCAACAACGGGUGGAGCCUGCGGUUUAAUUGGACUCAACGCCGGACAACUCACCGGGGACGACAGCAAUAUGUAGGUCAGGCUGAAGACCUUACCUGAAUCGCUGAGAGGAGGUGCAUGGCCGUCGCCAGUUCGUACUGUGAAGCAUCCUGUUAAGUCAGGCAACGAGCGAGACCCGUGCCCACUGUUACCAGCAUAUCCUCCGGGAUGAUGGGUACUCUGUGGGGACCGCCGGUGUUAAAUCGGUAGGAAGGUGCGGGCCACGGUAGGUCAGUAUGCCCCGAAUUUCCCGGGCUACACGCGGGCUACAAUGAAUGGGACAAUGGGUCCCUCCCUGAAAAGGCUGGUAAUCUCACAAACCCAUCCUUAAGUUCGGAUCGAGGGUCUGUAACGUCGCCUCG
rnacentral:rRNA from 1 species